UACGUAGGGUGCAAGCGUUGUCCGGAAUUAUUGGGCGUAAAGAGCUCGUAGGCGGUCUGUCGCGUCUGCUGUGAAAACUCAGGGCUUAACCCUGAGCUUGCAGUGGGUACGGGCAGACUAGAGUGCGGUAGGGGAGACUGGAAUUCCUGGUGUAGCGGUGAAAUGCGUAGAUAUCUGGAGGAAUACCGGUGGCGAAGGCGGCAUCCUGGACCGGCAUUGACGCUGAGGAGCGAAAGCUAGGGGAGCAAACGGG
rnacentral:rRNA from 1 species